CCCACCCAGUUGUUUCAUAUGACCCGUUAAAACAACCCAUUCUUCUUCUCCUUGCGAUUUUUUUUCUUUGAACAUUCCUCUCCUCAUGUUAAUCUACAGAAGUUACAAGCUCUUAAGUGGAUCCACAUGAUGUAUUAAUAGAUUAUUUGGAAGAGUUGAUACCUAAUCCUGAUGAUUGAAAUCUACACCCAUAAAUUAAUCAAAGGCUAUUAUCAGUGAAUAUUGCAAGUAAACAUUCACACUUUUAUUUCUUCAAAUAUUGUUGCGGUAAAUAAACAUUCACUCUUAAUGUUUCUCACAUAUGAAUACUGUGGAGUUAUACGAACCAUGAAGAUGGGGUCAGUCUGGUGAUGAAAUCGAAACCAAUGAGGUGAUAAAAGGUGAUCCAGAUACCCAUGUUGUAAUAUGUAAGUUACACGAACACGAUGAAAUUGUGGUGUUCUCAAGGAAGGACUUGCUUGUGAGUUGUACCAAUAAUGACAAAAGCAAACUUAUAUGUGGCUUGCUUGCUAUGGACUUGACAAUUACAAACAUAAUUGAGCAGAAGUGUUUGUUCAGAGUGCAUUAGUUCACAUGAUUGGGAACUUGUAGAGAGGUUGAUAUCAUUAGCUAACCCGCAAACGCUUAAUGAUGCUUUGUGAAUUUCAUUGGAUUCAAUUUGGUUUUUGAGCACCCAUCAGGAGCUUGAUGGGAUUACGGGGUUGAUUGAAACUAUCAUCUUUAAUGAUGCUUCCGACUUUACAAGGGCGGCUCUUAGGACUUCGUUUUUAGCUUCUUGCGUCUGAGCUUGCCCAAGUCGAAUAAUGUGCCUUGCAGACACUGAAUGUGUAAUGGCACGGAGGCAACAAACCACGCUGCGCAGUAAAGUGGGACACAUUUAAAAAGCACCAUCCAGUCAUCCACUCUCUGUUAACCCAUAUUCUCUAAGCUCGAAUAGAUUUUUUAGAUUAUGACGAAUUUUUUGGAAAAACAUAUUAAUGGAUUUAGUUAGAAAGUUCUUUGGAUCGUCAUCUACUUAUGCAAUCCAUUCUGCAUAUGUUAAAAGUUGUUCUAAUGGGUUCUUCUACUAUUUUUUAAGAUAUUAAUAGUUAUGGUAGUUUGUACAUGAAGUAUGCAAAGAUUCGUUCCAAAUAUUAUUGUAUUUCAUUUGGUUACUGGCUGCACUCGACUAAUAGUGGUAUGGAGUUCCAUUAUUGACGGUAUAUACUUAUUGCAGUCAUUAUGAUUUUGCCUUUUAGCAUAAAUAGAUCACUCAAGUGUUUUCGACAAGAUUAGACGCAUGAGAUCUUUGACCCAAAACAAAUUAAGACGCUUCCAUUGGAAUUCUAUGGUCUAUCUAUUCAUCUAUUGUGGCACCAA